rnacentral:rRNA from 1 species
UACGUAGGGCGCAAGCGUUCUCCGGAAUUAUUGGGCGUAAAGCGCUCGUAGGCGGUUUGUCGCGUCUGCCGUGAAAGUCCGGGGCUCAACUCCGGAUCUGCGGUGGGUACGGGCAGACUAGAGUGAUGUAGGGGAGACUGGAAUUCCUGGUGUAGCGGUGAAAUGCGCAGAUAUCAGGAGGAACACCGAUGGCGAAGGCAGGUCUCUGGGCAUUAACUGACGCUGAGGAGCGAAAGCAUGGGGAGCGAACAGG